GGUCGUAGCUCAGUGGUAGAGUAUCUGCUUUCCAUUUAGAAGGUCCCAGGUUCAAUAUCUAGGUACGGCUG